rnacentral:rRNA from 1 species
AUUGAACGCUGGCGGCAGGCCUAACACAUGCAAGUCGAGCGAGUGGCGGACGGGUGAGUAAUGUAUGGGAAACUGCCUGAUAGAGGGGGAUAACUACUGGAAACGGUGGCUAAUACCGCAUACUAUCGGAUGAACCCAUAUGGGAUUAGCUAGUAGGUGGGGUAAAGGCUCACCUAGGCGACGAUCCCUAGCUGGUCUGAGAGGAUGACCAGCCACACUGGGACUGAGACACGGCCCAGACUCCUACGGGAGGCAGCAGUGGGGAAUAUUGCACAAUGGGCGCAAGCCUGAUGCAGCCAGGCCGCGUGUAUGAAGAAGGCCUUAGGGUUGUAAAGUACUUUCAGCGGGGAGGCGUUACCCGCAGAAGAAGCACCGGCUAACUCCGUGCCAGCAGCCGCGGUAAUAC